CUCAAAUCAGGUAGGACUACCCGCUGAACUUAAGCAUAUCAAUAAGCGGAGGAAAAGAAACUAACAAGGAUUCCCCUAGUAACUGCGAGUGAAGCGGGAAGAGCUCAAAUUUAAAAUCUGGCGGCGUU
rnacentral:rRNA from 1 species